rnacentral:rRNA from 1 species
GACGGAGGGUGCUAGCGUUGUUCGGAAUUACUGGGCGUAAAGCGCGUGUAGGCGGCUAUGUAAGUCGGGCGUGAAAUCCCACGGCUCAACCGUGGAAGUGCACCCGAAACUGCGUAGCUAGAGUCCUGGAGAGGAAGGUGGAAUGCUUGGUGUAGAGGUGAAAUUCGUAGAUAUCAAGCGGAACACCGGUGGCGAAGGCGGCCUUCUGGACAGUGACUGACGCUGAGACGCGAAAGCGUGGGGAGCGAACAGG